rnacentral:lncRNA from 1 species
AUGUUUCGACCUCCAGGCCUGCGAGGUGUUAUUAUCCUCCCAAGUCUAGGCUCCGACUCAGGUCAGUUAAUUGCACUUUGGAAACAGGCAAGUAGGAACGGAACUUCCUGCCCUCCCUCUGCAGGAGGUCCCGGGCGGUGGGACACCGUGCCUCUCCCGUGGCGCCCCAGCCCCCAGACCCAAGGACUGCAGGGUCUGCUAACAGACUGCGGAAUCGGCUCGGGGGGGUGUCGGCCGCGGUGCGGGCCUCCCCCACAGCAACCGCGGGGUGCCCAGAGAAACGGGAGUUUGGUUCCGACGGUUGCCCAAAAAAGGCACGGAGAGGAGCCCGGAGCCCCCGGUCUCCGUCGAAGCUGCUCCUCCAGGGGCGGCCUGCCGACUGCAGCGCUCCCAACUUGGCAACCUGGGCUCCGCAGCUGCCUUUUUUUAGUGCACAUUUCCCAAAUCAGGCAGAAGAGGCGGGUGACUACCAACGCAAACUGCUGCUGGGCCUCGGCAGGCAGGACCGUGGGUGCGGGGCGUCGAGCGAGGGGAGACCCCCGUGACCUCACGCGCCCUCGCCGAAUUCGGGUGAGCGCAAAGCGCAGCAGGAGACGCUCGGAAAAGCCGCUCCCCGCCGGGCCCCUGCCCCCGCUUCCGCCUCCCGGGCGGCGGCGGGACAAUGCUCGGCCUCUUUUCCGCCCGGGGUUAGGGAGGGGAAGCCGGAUUAGGGCCCGCGCCUUCCGGCCGCGGCCCCCUCCUCCGCGCGCCGCCGACCGCGCACAGGUGGUUUUCCGCUGGGAGGGGCGCCUGGCACUUUUAUGUAACAAUAGAGCUCGGCGCCUCGGCCGGCCUGCGCCCCCUACCGCCGCCCACAGCUCGCCUGCCUGGCCCGCACCUCCCCAAGUUACCUGCUGGCUCUGCGGGGGGCCAGAGACGUGCCCCGAGACCCCCUCAUAUUUUGAGAGCCAGGAGGUACUGUCAGGCUCCACUCUAAGCCGCUCACCCGCCCCCGAUCUCUAG